rnacentral:rRNA from 1 species
AAAUAGAUACCCGGGUAGUCCACGCCGUAAACGAUGAGUGCUAAGUGUUAGGGGGUUUCCGCCCCUUUAGUGCUGCAGCUAACGCAUUAAGCACUCCGCCUGGGGAGUACGGUCGCAAGACUGAAACUCAAAGGAAUUGACGGGGGCCCGCACAAGCGGUGGAGCAUGUGGUUUAAUUCGAAGCAACGCGAAGAACCUUACCAGGUCUUGACAUCCCACUGACCGGUAUAGAGAUAUACCUUUCCCUUCGGGGACAGUGGUGACAGGUGGUGCAUGGUUGUCGUCAGCUCGUGUCGUGAGAUGUUGGGUUAAGUCCCGCAACGAGCGCAACCCUUGAUCUUAGUUGCCAGCAUUUAGUUGGGCACUCUAAGGUGACUGCCGGUGACAAACCGGAGGAAGGUGGGGAUGACGUCAAAUCAUCAUGCCCCUUAUGACCUGGGCUACACACGUGCUACAAUGGAUGGUACAAAGGGCUGCAAGACUGCGAAGUCAAGCCAAUCCCAUAAAACCAUUCUCAGUUCGGAUUGCAGG